GGUAAGAUGGCCGAGUGGUUAAGGCGGUGGAUUUAAGCGAUUAAGUUUAGAUUCCCACUGGAUGAUUUCCGCGUGGGUUCAAACCCCACUCUUACCA